rnacentral:rRNA from 1 species
AGUGAACGCUGGCGGUAGGCCUAACACAUGCAAGUCGAACGGCAGCACAGUAAGAGCUUGCUCUUACGGGUGGCGAGUGGCGGACGGGUGAGGAAUACAUCGGAAUCUACUUUUUCGUGGGGGAUAACGUAGGGAAACUUACGCUAAUACCGCAUACGACCUACGGGUGAAAGCAGGGGAUCUUCGGACCUUGCGCGAUUGAAUGAGCCGAUGUCGGAUUAGCUAGUUGGCGGGGUAAGGGCCCACCAAGGCGACGAUCCGUAGCUGGUCUGAGAGGAUGAUCAGCCACACUGGAACAGAGGCACGGUCCAGACUCCUACGGGAGGCAGCAGUGGGGAAUAUUGGACAAUGGGCGCAAGCCUGAUCCAGCCAUACCGCGUGGGUGAGGAAGGCCUUCGGGUUGUAAAGCCCUUUUAUUAGGAAAGAAAAGCAGCAGGUUAAUACCCCGCUGUUCUGACGGUACCCAAAGAAUAAGCACCGGCUAACUUCGUG